GGGAGUCAUUAGUUCCCAAAGGGAGGUUUCUUUCCUAUUGUAGCGCCCGAAAGUUGAUUUCGAGAGGGUGUCUAAUCAUCUGGUGACACGACCCGAUUGGUGUCCUUGUCAUAAUGGGCAUCCCACGUCCAACCAGGACUGGGGAACACCCCCUAUUACCAACCCAACCACCAUUAGCAUACCUUGAGUUGGUGAGUAUCGAUCAAAUAGCAAGAUAGCAUAACUGGACAAGGACUGGCUUUGGGAUAGGUUUAUUCCUAGACCAAUCCUAUCAAGUCAUCCCGUCACAGCUAACCGUAC
rnacentral:lncRNA from 1 species